rnacentral:lncRNA from 1 species
GUUGAAUCUCAGUACAAUAAAGCCCAGUUGCUUCAAGUGGCUGAACACCUGGUAAUGUAACAGGUUCAUUGCUUCCUGGGACAGCAGAAUUUCAUAGGCUUCCCGGACUGACAUGGGCACAUCUUUAUAAAAGAGCUGAAGAGAACCGCACUCCAGCAAGUACAGAGCCUCCUCAGGUAGUAGACACUGUUUACCACGCUCUGAGAACCCCAUAGUGUGCCAGAACUUCCCCGCAGGAGACUCCAGCUCCACAACACUCUGUUCUGGCUUCCACACGGCUUUCACCAGAUUCCCCGGCCGUUCCACACGCUCCUCAGCCAG